rnacentral:lncRNA from 1 species
UAUGUCGCUGGACCAUGACCCAAGCCAAAAACCAAUAAAACCCACCUUCCCUUAUUUUCUAAGAAAGAAAGAAAAAAAGAAGAGAGAGAAAAAGAUAACUCUCUCUUAGGUCUCUCUCUCUAGGAGCACGUAGAGAUCUCGAUUCGAGCUUUUGUCUUCCCAUCUGAUUGGGCUCAAUUAGGACUUUCGUUGAGAGAGAUGAGGAUUCUUUCUCUUGAUUUCUCUCUCUUCACCCAAUUUUUCUCUCUAAGAAGACCUAUAGAUCUUGAUCGGGCUAUCCUUUUCACUUCUAGCGAUCUAUGUUGAUUCUAGCAAGAUGAUCUCAAAUCACUUUUUAUUCAAUUUUGUUGAAUUUAUCGAAUAAAAAUUGAUUAUAAUUUAAUAUUUUAAAUAAAAUUACUUAAUUUAUCUAAUAAAAUCUAAAGAUCUAGGAUGAAUAAGAUAAGUGGAUCUCAUGCUCCUUAUUUGCUUACAAAUUUUCAUAUUUUUCAUACACAUGACCUCUUGUUGAUGAAAUCAUAUAUUUCAUAAAAUAAAAAUUAGCAUA